ACUGAACGCUGGCGGCAUGCUUUACACAUGCAAGUCGAACGGCAGCGCGGGCUUCGGCCUGGCGGCGAGUGGCGAACGGGUGAGCAAUGCAUCGGAACGUGCCCAGUAGUGGGGGAUAGCCCGGCGAAAGCCGGAUUAAUACCGCAUACGACCUGAGGGUGAAAGCGGGGGACCGAAAGGCCUCGCGCUAUUGGAGCGGCCGAUGUCGGAUUAGCUAGUUGGUGGGGUAAAGGCUUACCAAGGCGACGAUCCGUAGCUGGUCUGAGAGGACGACCAGCCACACUGGGACUGAGACACGGCCCAGACUCCUACGGGAGGCAGCAGUGGGGAAUUUUGGACAAUGGGGGCAACCCUGAUCCAGCCAUGCCGCGUGCGGGAAGAAGGCCUUCGGGUUGUAAACCGCUUUUGUUCGGGAAGAAAUCCUCUGGGCUAAUACCCCGGGGGGAUGACGGUACCGGAAGAAUAAGCACCGGCUAACUACGUG
rnacentral:rRNA from 1 species